rnacentral:rRNA from 1 species
CGGACGGGUGAGUAAUGUCUGGGAAACUGCCCGAUGGAGGGGGAUAACUACUGGAAACGGUAGCUAAUACCGCAUAACGUCGCAAGACCAAAGAGGGGGACCUUGGGCCUCUUGCCAUCGGAUGUGCCCAGAUGGGAUUAGCUAGUAGGUGGGGUAACGGCUCACCUAGGCGACGAUCCCUAGCUGGUCUGAGAGGAUGAUCAGCCACACUGGGACUGAGACACGGCCCAG